rnacentral:misc_RNA from 1 species
CACCACUCGAGUCUGACUCGGUAUUGGGCGCCGCGCACCGCCGCGCGCCUCAAAGUCCCCGGCUGGGCGGCCCGUCUCCGAGCGUUGUGACACCACAUUCUCGCUAGGGAGCUCGGGUCGCCUGCGGCCGCUAAACACCCCACCACA